AGAAACGCAGGAAAUUGAGGUACUGCUACGCUGCCUGAUCUUCCGUCUCCCCAAGGAUCUCCUCUCACAUGAUCUUGUGAUAGUUGUCGUGCAGGUAUUGAUUUCAGUUUCUACAUUUUAGAUAGGUCAGUGGGCUAAAUUUUCACCAUGGAGAUGACUAAGCAUGCUUUCUCUGUCUUGUCCACUAUUCUUCAGUACAAAAUAUUGCACCUGACAGGCAGAAUUGAGAGGACUUGAAUGGGCAAGGACCUCUGCUAUCGUCUAACACAACAGCAAGGAUUCGCGUACUCAGUAUUAUCCAUUGUUCCAGCCGUAUAUAACCGUGCAGGUUAGGUUAUAUCGAUGAAUAUUAUUGAAAAAAAAUCUUCAUACAUUACAACAAUGUGAUUUAUUUCUGGUCGCAUAACAUCUAUUUGUGGUCUGCACUCUGGAAUAUGCUUGCAACAAUCGAGUAGAAGGAAUACUUACUAAGUUGCCGGCAUUUCCAUCAACUGUGGUAUUUGAUCUUUACUACCACAAGUGUUUUUCAGUUGUAUUUUUUAAUUAUUUUUCUCUUUCUCCCAUUUACAAUGCGAAGAAGUUGCAGCUUUCUAUAGUCCACAAGUAAAUUGUUGAUUGAUUAUAUGUUACUCUUUGGUUUUAGAAAAAAUAAAGCAUAAUGAUAUAAAUACUUCUCAACAUUCGAGAUAUAGAAAUCUCAAUAGUAGAAUUGAUAGUGUGUCAUUUAGCCAUCUGUGCAUAACAAAUUAACUUGCAUUUUUUACUUCAAUGUUUAUGUGGAACAACUGGAUGUAUUUGGGACACCUCUUUGGUUACUCCAUACUUAUCCAGAUGACUGCAACAAGUAUUUGUUUCACAUUGCCUUUGGUUACUACAUACUUUAUCCGGAGAACUAUAGCAAGUGUUUUUUUGGCGGGACUAUAGCAAGCCUUUGUUUCAGGACAUUGCUUUGGCUACUACAUGUUUCUCCGGAGGACAAUAGCAAGUGUUCCUUUUGCCGGACUAUAGGAAGUCUUUGUUUCAUAGCAUCCCAUCGUUGCUUUCCUUCACUGUACAACAAGAAAGAAAGGUUUUUAUGAGGUCUUUGGCUCUUCCUACAUGAAAACUUUAAUGUAACAAUUUGGUCAGCAGGAGGGCAGCAUCCAACAAAAAGAUA
rnacentral:lncRNA from 1 species